rfam:Yersinia ruckeri strain 37551 YRO1b0000029, whole genome shotgun sequence.
GGUAUUCCUUAUCUGUCUCUAAUGGUUUAUUUGGAGUCUAUCUUCCUGUGUUUUAACCAGAGUCAUAAAACCAGAGUUAAAACACGCGCCCUGGUGAAAGCACCGGAAGAUAGGCUCAUCAGUUUAGUUGCCGCUUUAGUGCUCAAA